rnacentral:tRNA from 1 species
GGAGGGGUGGCAGAGCGGUUGAAUGCGCUGGUCUUGAAAACCAGUAACGGGCAACCCCCGUUCGUGGGUUCGAAUCCCACCCCCUCCG